GCGCGAAAACUUUACAAUGCUGGCAACAGCGAUAAGGGAACCUCGAGUGCCAGGUUACAAAUCUGGCUGUCGAGAUGCCUAAAAAGCAUUUCAUAGCAAGGGCCGGGCAAGACCGGUGCCAGCCGCCGCGGUAACACCGGCGGCUCGAGUGGUAACCGUUAUUAUUGGGUCUAAAGGGUCUGUAGCCGGCCGGAUAAGUCUCUUGAGAAAUCUGGCAGCUUAACUGUCAGGCCUUCAGGAGAUACUGUCUGGCUCGAGGCCGGGAGAGGUGAGGGGUACUUCAGGGGUAGGGGUGAAAUCUUGUAAUCCUUGAAGGACCACCAGUGGCGAAGGCGUCUCACCAGAACGGACCUGACGGCAAGGGACGAAAGCUAGGGGCACGAACC
rnacentral:rRNA from 1 species